UACGGGGGAUGCAAGCGUUAUUCGGAAUUAUUGGGCGUAAAGGGCGCGUAGGUUGUAUAUAUAGUCAGAUGUGAAAUCCCGAGGCUUAACCUUGGAAGAGCAUUUGAGACAUAUGUACUUGAGUACAGUAGAGGAUAGCGGAAUUCCUGGUGUAGAGGUGAAAUUCGUAGAUAUCAGGAGGAACACCGGUGGCGAAGGCGGCUAUCUGGGCUUGUACUGACACUGAGGCGCGAAGGCGUGGGUAUCGAACAGG
rnacentral:rRNA from 1 species